UACGUAGGGUGCGAGCGUUAAUCGGAAUUACUGGGCGUAAAGCGUGCGCAGGCGGUUCGUUAAGUUCGAUGUGAAAGCCCCGGGCUCAACCUGGGAACUGCAUUGGAAACUGGCGAGCUUGAAUGCGGCAGAGGGGGGUGGAAUUCCGCGUGUAGCAGUGAAAUGCGUAGAUAUCGGAAGGAACAUCAGUGGCGAAAGCGACUUCCUGGACCAGUACCGACGUUCAGGCACGAAAGCGUGGGGAGCAAACAGG
rnacentral:rRNA from 1 species